rnacentral:rRNA from 1 species
GACGAACGCUGGCGGCGUGCUUAACACAUGCAAGUCGAACGAAAAGACGGAAAGAGCUUGCUCUUUUCAGAAUUGAGUGGCAAACGGGUGAGUAACACGUAAACAACCUGCCUUCAGGAUGGGGACAACAGACGGAAACGACUGCUAAUACCGAAUAAGUUCCAAGGGCCGCAUGGCCCAUGGAAGAAAAGGUGGCCUCUACCUGUAAGCUAUCGCCUGAAGAGGGGUUUGCGUCUGAUUAGCUGGUUGGAGGGGUAACGGCCCACCAAGGCGACGAUCAGUAGCCGGUCUGAGAGGGUGAACGGCCACACUGGAACUGAGACACGGUCCAGACUCCUACGGGAGGCAGCAGUGGGGAAUCUUCCGCAAUGGGCGAAAGCCUGACGGAGCAACGCCGCGUGAGUGAUGACGGCCUUCGGGUUGUAAAACUCUGUGAUCCGGGACGAAAAGGCAGAGUGCGAAGAACAAACUGCAUUGACGGUACCGGAAAGC